UACAGAGGUGGCAAGCGUUGUUCGGAAUUACUGGGCGUAAAGGGCGCGUAGGCGGCCCGUCAAGUCCCGUGUGAAAGCCCCCGGCUCAACCGGGGAACUGCACGGGAAACUAGCAGGCUUGAGUUCGGGAGAGGGAAGCGGAAUUUCGGGUGUAGCGGUGAAAUGCGCAGAUAUCGGGAGGAACACCAGAGGCGAAGGCGGGCUACUGGGCUGAUACUGACGCUGAUGCGCGAAAGCCAGGGGAGCAAACGGG
rnacentral:rRNA from 1 species